CCAAGGCCUUAAAUUAACCGCAUACGCCCUUCGGGGGAAAGGCUUCGGCCGUAGAUGGAUGAGCCCGCGUCCGAUUAGCUAGUUGGUGGGGUAACGGCCUACCAAGGCGACGAUCGGUAGCUGGUCUGAGAGGAUGAUCAGCCACACUGGGACUGAGACACGGCCCAGACUCCUACGGGAGGCAGCAGUGGGGAAUAUUGGACAAUGGGCGAAAGCCUGAUCCAGCAAUGCCGCGUGAGUGAUGAAGGUCUUCGGAUUGUAAAGCUCUUUCGACGGGGAAGAUAAUGACGGUCCCGAA
rnacentral:rRNA from 1 species